CCUACGGGCGGCAGCAGUGAGGAAUAUUGGUCAAUGGGCGCGAGCCUGAACCAGCCAAGUAGCGUGAAGGAUGACUGCCCUACGGGUUGUAAACUUCUUUUAUAAAGGAAUAAAGUGCGGCACGUGUGCCUUUUUGCAUGUACUUUAUGAAUAAGGAUCGGCUAACUCCGUGCCAGCAGCCGCGGUAAUACGGAGGAUCCGAGCGUUAUCCGGAUUUAUUGGGUUUAAAGGGAGCGUAGGUGGGUUGUUAAGUCAGUUGUGAAAGUUUGCGGCUCAACCGUAAAAUUGCAGUUGAUACUGGCAGCCUUGAGUACAGUUGAGGUAGGCGGAAUUCGUGGUGUAGCGGUGAAAUGCUUAGAUAUCACGAAGAACUCCGAUUGCGAAGGCAGCUUACUAGACUGCCACUGACGUUGAUGCUCGAAAGUGUGGGUAUCAAACAGGAUUAGAUACCCGAGUAGUC
rnacentral:rRNA from 1 species